CCGCCGUGCCUGCCCAGUCCCUGGCUUGACCAGACCAAUGCCAGUGCUCCUUUGUGAGCGGCGCAGCGUGUAAAGGUAUUGGACCGGGACCUGGGAGCAGGGCGUUCAAAUCUCCACUUGCCACGAGAGAAGCACGUGGUGGUCCUGGGCCAGUCGCUCUUUCUCAGCAUUUUGAACCUCACAAGGUUGUUCUGAGGGAAAAUGGAAGAUGCGAAAGAACCGUGGGCGUCCCCCAGAGCUCCUUGGAGGAAAGGAAAUUUGGACAGGUGGAAGUAAACACACACUCUCGCUACUUGCCAGAGGAGCUAAAAGAUCUUGCAAAGCAACUUAAAGAACACUGGAAGAUUCCGCACGUGGUCUGAGAUAGUAACUCUCCUCCGCCAGCAAAUCCUGCGGCAGAAUUCCCAAGCUCCGGCACACACACGUACACAUGCACCAUAAAGAAAUGAAUGGAUGGAACGAAAGUGCAAAAUAAGAACUUAAAUAUGAAUUAGCAGGACACAAACUGAUAGAAUGAGAAAGGAAAAUGAGUAUUAGAACUAAUCAAAGUAGACCUACAGCAAUAAUAGGAGGAUAGCAGCAGAAGGAAUAUAUAACUAUGAUUGUA